rnacentral:lncRNA from 1 species
UACAUUAUAGCACUUGAUGACACCAUCAGGAGAGAAGAGAGGUCUCCAGCUUGAUGGAAAUGUACAGUUUCCGAGAGAUGAGGGGCAGCAGGGAGAGCGGGGUGGGAGGGUCAGCCCUGCUUGCCUGAGAGGCCAGGUCUGGGGCUGCUGUGGUUCUAUUUUGUGAGUGGUCACCGCAAUUGGGAAAUAGGUGGACAUUGUAUUUAAUCUUCAGGGUGUCAGUACUCUCUGCUUGUGUCUAGGCUUGCCUCAUUUUUGAAAGGAAGAGAGUGAUGAUUCUGCUGUUUCCAUUCAUUAGUGCGUCAGAGGGGCGAUUUAGUCAUAGCCAUGUGCCCAGAGAAGAUUUCUGGAAGAAAAGUGUGCCUAACUUGCAGAUAUCUAUUCAGCAGACUCCAGCCUGGGGCCUUCUGUUCCUUCCUGAGUACCUCAGACCCGUUUCUUCAUCAGUCACAUUGGACCUAAAUCUCU